rnacentral:rRNA from 1 species
AACGAACGCUGGCGGCAGGCCUAACACAUGCAAGUCGAGCGAGGACUUCUGUCCUAGCGGCGGACGGGUGAGUAACGCGUGGGAACGUGCCCUUUGCUACGGAAUAGCCUCGGGAAACGGGGAGUAAUACCGUAUGUGCCCGAGAGGGGACAGGUUUAUCGGGAAAGGAUGGGCCCGCGUUGGAUUAGGUAGUUGGUGGGGUAAGGGCCUACCAAGGCGUCGAUCCGUAGCUGGUUUGAGGGGAUGAUCAGCCACACUGGGACUGAGACACGGCCCAGCCUCCUACGGGAGGCAGCAGUGGGGAAUCUUGGACAAUGGGGGAAACCCUGAUCUAGCGACGCCGCGUGGGCGAUGAAGGCCUUAGGGUUGUAAAGCUCUUUCAGUGGGGAAGAGAAUGACGGUACCUGCAGAAGAAGCCCCGGCUAACUCCGUGCCAGCCGCCGCCGUAAUAC